UGGGGAUUCGCCAAGUUGGUCUAAGGCACCGGAUUUUGAUUCCGGCAUUCGUAGGUUCGAAUCCUACAUCCCCAG
rnacentral:tRNA from 1 species